rnacentral:pre_miRNA from 1 species
UUUGUUGUGACAUGCUUCUUUGCAUCGCCAUACGGAAAUGUUGCAGCUAUGGAAUGUAAAGAAGUAUGUAACUGCAAC